GUGUCUCUUUGGCCGGAGAGGCUAUGGUGGUCAGCAUUCACCAGUGUUAUAUUAACGAGUGAAGAGAAAUCUCUAAUAAAUACUGUAUAAUGAAAUUAA